rnacentral:misc_RNA from 1 species
UUAAAUAUUAUUAUAUUACUCAGACAUCACUAAACACAGAGUUUAGGUCCUCUGGCAGGCGCAGUCAGCCAGAGCCAACGCCCGGAGGCGGCCUGCCAAAGCAACAAAGGUAAGGUACACGGUUGUGGGUAUUGAACCCAUUUUACGAAAAAACGGGGCUUCAUAGUCUUUUUCAAUAAUGAUCCUUCCGCAGGUUCACCUACGGAAA